UACGGGGGGGGCAAGCGUUGUUCGGAAUUACUGGGCGUAAAGGGCUCGUAGGCGGCCAACUAAGUCGGACGUGAAAUCCCUCGGCUUAACCGGGGAACUGCGUCCGAUACUGGAUGGCUUGAGUGUGGGAGAGGGAUGCGGAAUUCCAGGUGUAGCGGUGAAAUGCGUAGAUAUCAGGAGGAACACCGGCGGUGUAGACGGCUUUCUGGACCGUAGCUGACGCUGAGACACGAAAGCGUGGGUAGCAAACAGG
rnacentral:rRNA from 1 species